rnacentral:lncRNA from 1 species
GGCUGGACCUCUAGGGACCGAAGGCUCAGCGAUGGACGAUACCCUGGGUUUAGCAACACUGCCCCCUGUGCCCGGGAGCCAUGAGCCGCCCUCAGCGCCCGCAGAGCCUCCGAAGCAGCCCCCCGGCCGCAGCCCCCCGGCGCUGCUAGCCCUCCCUGCUCCCCCAGCAAGGUGCCCGUCUCUCCCAUCCCUCCCAAAGGUUCCUUGCCUCACCAGCAGCUCCUUGCAAGAUUUCAGCUCUGGGCUGCGCGUCCAGAACUGA